GACGAACGCUGGCGGCGUGCCUAAUACAUGCAAGUAGGACGCAGUUGCGAACGGGUGAGUAACGCGUAGGUAACUACCUAUUAGAGGGGGAUAAAUAUUGGAAACGAUAGCAAAUACCGCAUACUAGAAGAUGGACCUGCGUUGUAUUAGCAAGUAGGUAGGGAAGUGUUCUACCUAGGCAAAGAUACAUAGCCGACCGGAGAGGGUGAUCGGCCACACUGUGACUGAGACACGGCCCAGACUCCUACUGGAGGCAGCAGUAGGGAAUCUUCGGCAAUGGGGGGAACCCUGACCGAGCAACGCCGCUUGAGUGAAGAAGUUUUUCGGAUCGUAAAGCUCUGUUGUUAAGGAAGCGGUACUUAACCAGAAAGGGACGGCUAACUACGUGCCAGCAGCCGCGGUAAUAC
rnacentral:rRNA from 1 species